AGAGUUUGAUCAUGGCUCAGAACGAACGCUGGCGGCAUGCCUAACACAUGCAAGUCGAACGAGACCUUCGGGUCUAGUGGCGCACGGGUGCGUAACGCGUGGGAAUCUGCCCUGGGGUACGGAAUAACAGUGAGAAAUUACUGCUAAUACCGUAUGAUGACGUAAGUCCAAAGAUUUAUCGCCCUGGGAUGAGCCCGCGUAGGAUUAGCUUGUUGGUGAGGUAAAAGCUCACCAAGGCGACGAUCCUUAGCUGGUCUGAGAGGAUGAUCAGCCACACUGGGACUGAGACACGGCCCAGACUCCUACGGGAGGCAGCAGUGGGGAAUAUUGGACAAUGGGCGAAAGCCUGAUCCAGCAAUGCCGCGUGAGUGAUGAAGGCCUUAGGGUUGUAAAGCUCUUUUACCCGGGAAGAUAAUGACUGUACCGGGAGAAUAAGCCCCGGCUAACUCCGUG
rnacentral:rRNA from 1 species